rnacentral:rRNA from 1 species
AUUGAACGCUGGCGGCAGGCUUAACACAUGCAAGUCGAACGAGUGGCGGACGGGUGAGUAAUGUAUGGGGAUCUGCCCGAUAGAGGGGGAUAACUACUGGAAACGGUGGCUAAUACCGCAUACUAUCGGAUGAACCCAUAUGGGAUUAGCUAGUGGGUGGGGUAAAGGCUCACCUAGGCGACGAUCCCUAGCUGGUUUGAGAGGAUGACCAGCCACACUGGGACUGAGACACGGCCCAGACUCCUACGGGAGGCAGCAGUGGGGAAUAUUGGACAAUGGGGGCAAGCCUGAUGCAGCCAUGCCGCGUGUAUGAGGAAGGCCUUAGGGUUGUAAAGUACUUUCAGCGGGGAGGCGGUACCCGCAGAAGAAGCACCGGCUAACUCCGUGCCAGCAGCCGCGGUAAUAC